GAGCCAUCCAGGAAGCACAGCAAGGGGCAGUCAGUUGGAAGACCUAACAGUGCCUUCUGCCCCUGGCACAUUCACCAAAGAAGAAGACUACUCUGGGACUCACCAGUAUGGGAUGGUGCUAUGGCAACAGUCUCCUUGGAGCUCACUGGAUCCUUAGAAUUAUUUUGUGAUGCUUGUUCUGCAUCUUGAAAUGACAACCUGUGCCUCUGGGACUCGGCUGCAAGGAAGACAAGUGGGAGGCAAGUGGACAUGUUUUUCUGUGUAUCCCAAAACAGGUAGCAGUGUCCUUGCAGUGCACUGGAUGGAUGGAUGAAGGCACUCUCCCAGGCUUCCAGGCUUCCAACCCUUGGUGUGGGCUGUGCCCACCAGCCCCCUUUGUGGAGCUCAGACAGGCUGGAAUUCUCCAAGAAUAACCUCACAGGAAAUCAACAAAAUGAACAAAGAGAAUACAAACAGCUGAACAACAGAUGUGCUUACUGAAUGCAGGAAGGCCUGUCUUCCUUCCCGUCUGCCCCCAGGCAUGGAAGGACCAAGCCAGGGUCAAGGAGUGGAAGAAGCAGCUUAUCCUCCAGAAGCCUAGAGGUGAGGCUCUAAGUGGGAACUUUCUCCUGGCCAAUCUUUUUCAGUGCUGUUUGUUUGGCAAGGGAACAGAUUUUCCUGUUACAACAGCCAAAAAAACAGAAAAUAAAUCAAGGAAAGAGUGGCAAGGACCAGCCUGGAAAUGAAGUUAAAAUAUCUAGGCUUGCUGAAGACACCACAAAAUGGUUUUCUCCUCAAAGUGGCUGCACAGCUUAGAGGGACGGCAGAUCAGACUGCUCUAAUGGAUCUAGGGACAUAUUCCUCUCCCUGACAACUCCACCCACACCUCUUCCCACCCUAUUUCCUCCAAAAGCCUUUUGCAGAUGGUGCCUCUCAGUUCCCAGAACCAGUCUGGAGCAGUGAUUAAAGGACCAAAAUUCCAGGAACCAUUUUUUUUCUUGUUGUACAGUUUGGCAAAUGCUUCAGCUAUGCUAAGACACAGUGAAUCACUUAAGAGUGACAAUCAAGAUGCUGGAGGGAAAUUAAGGAUUCCACUGAGCAUGGGGCCAGUCUUCAAAAAAGUGGUUGUUAGUGAAAAGAUAGGAUUGUGUGAACACUCUAUUUGGGCACCCUUCAUCCCCAUAGGCACUCAGGCCACACUUUUGCCUCCUUGGAUCCCUCCUUCCUUUCCCUAUUCCUAUGGAUAAGAAUCAUUUCCAUUACUACCAGGUCUCUACAUAUUCCAGAUUUAUGAUAUAACCAUGAAAAAAUAAAUAAUGAAAGUCUCAGGACCUUGUCGGAUCAGAUAACCACAUAUAGUUCUC